AGCGUACACGGUGGAUGCCCUGGCAGUCAGAGGCGAUGAAGGACGUGCUAAUCUGCGAUAAGCGUCGGUAAGGUGAUAUGAACCGUUAUAACCGGCGAUUUCCGAAUGGGGAAACCCAGUGUGAUUCGUCACACUAUCAUUAACUGAAUCCAUAGGUUAAUGAGGCGAACCGGGGGAACUGAAACAUCUAAGUACCCCGAGGAAAAGAAAUCAACCGAGAUUCCCCCAGUAGCGGCGAGCGAACGGGGAGCAGCCCAGAGCCUGAAUCAGUGUGUGUGUUAGUGGAAGCGUCUGGAAAGGCGUGCGAUACAGGGUGACAGCCCCGUACACAAAAAUGCACAUGCUGUGAGCUCGAUGAGUAGGGCGGGACACGUGGUAUCCUGUCUGAAUAUGGGGGGACCAUCCUCCAAGGCUAAAUACUCCUGACUGACCGAUAGUGAACCAGUACCGUGAGGGAAAGGCGAAAAGAACCCCGGCGAGGGGAGUGAAAAAGAACCUGAAACCGUGUACGUACAAGCAGUGGGAGCACGCUUAGGCGUGUGACUGCGUACCUUUUGUAUAAUGGGUCAGCGACUUAUAUUCUGUAGCAAGGUUAACCGAAUAGGGGAGCCGAAGGGAAACCGAGUCUUAACUGGGCGUUAAGUUGCAGGGUAUAGACCCGAAACCCGGUGAUCUAGCCAUGGGCAGGUUGAAGGUUGGGUAACACUAACUGGAGGACCGAACCGACUAAUGUUGAAAAAUUAGCGGAUGACUUGUGGCUGGGGGUGAAAGGCCAAUCAAACCGGGAGAUAGCUGGUUCUCCCCGAAAGCUAUUUAGGUAGCGCCUCGUGAAUUCAUCUCCGGGGGUAGAGCACUGUUUCGGCAAGGGGGUCAUCCCGACUUACCAACCCGAUGCAAACUGCGAAUACCGGAGAAUGUUAUCACGGGAGACACACGGCGGGUGCUAACGUCCGUCGUGAAGAGGGAAACAACCCAGACCGCCAGCUAAGGUCCCAAAGUCAUGGUUAAGUGGGAAACGAUGUGGGAAGGCCCAGACAGCCAGGAUGUUGGCUUAGAAGCAGCCAUCAUUUAAAGAAAGCGUAAUAGCUCACUGGUCGAGUCGGCCUGCGCGGAAGAUGUAACGGGGCUAAACCAUGCACCGAAGCUGCGGCAGCGACACUAUGUGUUGUUGGGUAGGGGAGCGUUCUGUAAGCCUGCGAAGGUGUGCUGUGAGGCAUGCUGGAGGUAUCAGAAGUGCGAAUGCUGACAUAAGUAACGAUAAAGCGGGUGAAAAGCCCGCUCGCCGGAAGACCAAGGGUUCCUGUCCAACGUUAAUCGGGGCAGGGUGAGUCGACCCCUAAGGCGAGGCCGAAAGGCGUAGUCGAUGGGAAACAGGUUAAUAUUCCUGUACUUGGUGUUACUGCGAAGGGGGGACGGAGAAGGCUAUGUUGGCCGGGCGACGGUUGUCCCGGUUUAAGCGUGUAGGCUGGUUUUCCAGGCAAAUCCGGAAAAUCAAGGCUGAGGCGUGAUGACGAGGCACUACGGUGCUGAAGCAACAAAUGCCCUGCUUCCAGGAAAAGCCUCUAAGCAUCAGGUAACAUCAAAUCGUACCCCAAACCGACACAGGUGGUCAGGUAGAGAAUACCAAGGCGCUUGAGAGAACUCGGGUGAAGGAACUAGGCAAAAUGGUGCCGUAACUUCGGGAGAAGGCACGCUGAUAUGUAGGUGAAGUCCCUCGCGGAUGGAGCUGAAAUCAGUCGAAGAUACCAGCUGGCUGCAACUGUUUAUUAAAAACACAGCACUGUGCAAACACGAAAGUGGACGUAUACGGUGUGACGCCUGCCCGGUGCCGGAAGGUUAAUUGAUGGGGUUAGCGCAAGCGAAGCUCUUGAUCGAAGCCCCGGUAAACGGCGGCCGUAACUAUAACGGUCCUAAGGUAGCGAAAUUCCUUGUCGGGUAAGUUCCGACCUGCACGAAUGGCGUAAUGAUGGCCAGGCUGUCUCCACCCGAGACUCAGUGAAAUUGAACUCGCUGUGAAGAUGCAGUGUACCCGCGGCAAGACGGAAAGACCCCGUGAACCUUUACUAUAGCUUGACACUGAACAUUGAGCCUUGAUGUGUAGGAUAGGUGGGAGGCUUUGAAGUGUGGACGCCAGUCUGCAUGGAGCCGACCUUGAAAUACCACCCUUUAAUGUUUGAUGUUCUAACGUUGACCCGUAAUCCGGGUUGCGGACAGUGUCUGGUGGGUAGUUUGACUGGGGCGGUCUCCUCCUAAAGAGUAACGGAGGAGCACGAAGGUUGGCUAAUCCUGGUCGGACAUCAGGAGGUUAGUGCAAUGGCAUAAGCCAGCUUGACUGCGAGCGUGACGGCGCGAGCAGGUGCGAAAGCAGGUCAUAGUGAUCCGGUGGUUCUGAAUGGAAGGGCCAUCGCUCAACGGAUAAAAGGUACUCCGGGGAUAACAGGCUGAUACCGCCCAAGAGUUCAUAUCGACGGCGGUGUUUGGCACCUCGAUGUCGGCUCAUCACAUCCUGGGGCUGAAGUAGGUCCCAAGGGUAUGGCUGUUCGCCAUUUAAAGUGGUACGCGAGCUGGGUUUAGAACGUCGUGAGACAGUUCGGUCCCUAUCUGCCGUGGGCGCUGGAGAACUGAGGGGGGCUGCUCCUAGUACGAGAGGACCGGAGUGGACGCAUCACUGGUGUUCGGGUUGUCAUGCCAAUGGCACUGCCCGGUAGCUAAAUGCGGAAGAGAUAAGUGCUGAAAGCAUCUAAGCACGAAACUUGCCCCGAGAUGAGUUCUCCCUGACUCCUUGA
rnacentral:rRNA from 1 species